rnacentral:rRNA from 1 species
AUACGUAGGGGGCGAGCGUUGUCCGGAUUUAUUGGGCGUAAAGAGCUCGUAGGCGGCUCAGCAAGUCGGCCGUGAAAGCCUGAGGCUCAACCUCAGGACGCCGGUCGAAACUGCUGUGGCUAGGGUUCGGUAGAGGAGAGUGGAAUUCCCGGUGUAGCGGCGAAAUGCGCAGAUAUCGGGAGGAACACCAGUAGCGAAGGCGGCUCUCUGGGCCGACACCGACGCUGAGGAGCGAAAGCUAGGGGAGCAAACAGGAUUAGAUACCCCGGUAGUCC